GAUGAACGCUAGCGGCAGGCUUAAUACAUGCAAGUCGAGGGGCAGCAUGAUUGUAGCAAUACAAUUGAUGGCGACCGGCAAACGGGUGCGGAACACGUACACAACCUCCCAAUAAGUGGGGAAUAGCCCAGAGAAAUUUGGAUUAAUACCCCGUAACAUAACGAUGUGGCAUCACAUUGUUAUUAUAGAUUUUUCGCUUAUUGAUGGGUGUGCGGCUGAUUAGAUAGUUGGCGGGGUAACGGCCCACCAAGUCUACGAUCAGUAGCUGAUGUGAGGGCAGGAUCAGCCACACGGGCACUGAGACACGGGCCCGAAUCCUACGGGAGGCAGCAGUAAGGAAUAUUGGACAAUGGACGCAAGUCUGAUCCAGCCAUGCCGCGUGAAGGAUUAAGGUCCUCUGGAUUGUAAACUUCUUUUAUAAGGGACGAAAAAAGGCAUUUCUAAGUCGUCUGACGGUACCUUAUGAAUAAGCACCGGCUAACUCCGUGCCAGCCGCCGCCGUAAGAC
rnacentral:rRNA from 1 species